AUUGAACGCUAGCGGGAUGCCUUACACAUGCAAGUCGAACGGAGUGGCGAACGGGUGAGUAAUGUAUCGGUAUGUGCCCAGUAGCGGGGGAUAACUACGCCAACGCGUAGCUAAUACCGCAUACUAUUGGAGCGGCCUGUACCGGAGUAGCUAGUUGGUGGGGUAACGGCUCACCAUGGCGACGAUCCGUAGCUGGUUUGAGAGGACGACCAGCCACACUGGGACUGAGACACGGCCCAGACUCCUACGGGAGGCAGCAGUGGGGAAUAUUGGACAAUGGGGGCAAGCCUGAUCCAGCCAUGCCGCGUGUGCGAAGAAGGCCUUCGGGUUGUAAAGCACUUUUAGCAGGGAAGCGGUACCUGCAGAAUAAGCACCGGCUAACUACGUGCCAGCAGCCGCGGUAAUUC
rnacentral:rRNA from 1 species